AGCUCCAAUAGCAUAUAUUAAAGUUGUUGCGGUUAAAAAGCUCGUAGUUGGAUUUCUGUCGAAGGCAGCCGGUCCCCGCCUCGCGGGCGCAUCUGGUCGGCCUUCGGCAUCUGUUUGCACGCCGCCUCCCCGCUUCAUUGUGGGGAGCGGAGUACAAGUCUUUUACUUUGAAGAAAUUAGUGUGUUUACAGCAGGCUUCGCCUUGAAUACAUCAGCAUGGAAUAAUAAUAUAGGAUCCAGGUCCAUGUUGUUGGUCAGUGGAUUAGGAUAAUGAUUAAUAGGGACAGUUGGGGGCAUUGGGACCAAGACGUCAGAGGUGGAAUUCUUGGAUUGUCUUGUGACGAACUACUGCGAAAGCAUUUGCCAAGCAUGUUUUCA
rnacentral:rRNA from 1 species